GUAUUAAUUUCGACAAGAGUGAUGGAUCCAUUUUGAUGCAUGAAGCUGUAAAUUACCCAUGUAAUCUAGCACUUGUGUAAUGGUAAUGCAUUAGCAUACCACACCUCUAAUAUUAUAAAGAGUCUUGACAUGUUCAAGUUCAGGUUCAAGUUAGUUUAUUUCUAUUAAACUAACUUGAACUUGUGUUCUAUGGGUUUGCAUGCAUUUACAUUACUACGUAAUAACACAUUUACUAAGGGACAGUACUACAGGGUUUUAAAAUGACAUUACAUUUUUCUGUGUUAGGGAGGCGUAAACCACCAGCAACACUCUUAAAACCAGUCCGGCCUGAUGAAUAUAGUGCUACUGCAUCUCCACAUCCAGUGAGGGUUCCUUUGCCAGUACCUCCAGAGUUGCUUGAAUUGGGGUUAUCGACAAGCAAGACCACAUCGCCUUUGAGACCAGUGCAGGAAACCAUGCUUUGUCAAUUGACCUCUACACAGUCUAUAGCCUCUACUCCUCCCUCAGGCCCCCUUGCAGCUGCUGUCCAGUCAGGACUCCUUGCAGCCUCUACUCCACCCACAGCACUCCCUGCAGCCU